GAUGAACGCUGGCGGCGUGCUUAACACAUGCAAGUCGAACGGAAAGGCCCAAGCUUGCUUGGGUACUCGGGUGGCGAACGGGUGAGUAACACGUGGGUGAUCUGCCCUGCACUUCGGGAUAAGCCUGGGAAACUGGGUCUAAUACCGGAUAGGACCACAUUUUGGAUGGUGUGGUGGAAAGUUUUUCGGUGUGGGAUGAGCUCGCGGCCUAUCAGCUUGUUGGUGGGGUAAUGGCCUACCAAGGCGUCGACGGGUAGCCGGCCUGAGAGGGUGUACGGCCACAUUGGGACUGAGAUACGGCCCAGACUCCUACGGGAGGCAGCAGUGGGGAAUAUUGCACAAUGGGCGCAAGCCUGAUGCAGCGACGCCGCGUGGGGGAUGACGGCCUUCGGGUUGUAAACUCCUUUCGCUAGGGACGAAGCGCAAGUGACGGUACCUGGAGAAGAAGCACCGGCUAACUACGUG
rnacentral:rRNA from 1 species